GACAGAGGGUGCAAACGUUGUUCGGAAUUACUGGGCGUAAAGCGCGUGUAGGCGGCUAAGUAAGUCGGGCGUGAAAUCCCACGGCUCAACCGUGGAAGUGCACUCGAAACUGCGUAGCUAGAGUCCUGGAGAGGAAGGUGGAAUGCUUGGUGUAGAGGUGAAAUGCGUAGAUAUCAGGAGGAACACCUGCGGUGUAGACGGCUUUCUGGACCAUUGUUGACGCUGAGACCCGAAAGCGUGGGUAGCAAACAGG
rnacentral:rRNA from 1 species